rnacentral:rRNA from 1 species
UACGUAGGGUGCAAGCGUUGUCCGGAAUUAUUGGGCGUAAAGAGCUCGUAGGCGGUCCGGUAAGUCCGCUGUGAAAGUCGGGGGCUCAACCCUCGAAUGCCGGUGGAUACUGUCGGGCUAGAGUGCGGAAGAGGCGAGUGGAAUUCCUGGUGUAGCGGUGAAAUGCGCAGAUAUCAGGAGGAACACCAAUUGCGAAGGCAGCUCGCUGGGACGUUACUGACGCUGAGACGCGAAAGCGUGGGGAGCAAACAGG